rnacentral:rRNA from 1 species
CUACGUGCCAGCAGCCGCGGUAAUACGGAAGGUCCGGGCGUUAUCCGGAUUUAUUGGGUUUAAAGGGAGCGUAGGCUGGAGAUUAAGUGUGUUGUGAAAUGUAGACGCUCAACGUCUGACUUGCAGCGCGAACUGUCAGACUUGAGUACACGCAACGUAUGCGGAAUUCAUGGUGUAGCGGUGAAAUGCUUAGAUAUCAUGAAGAACUCCGAUUGCGAAGGCAGCAUACGGGAGUGUAACUGACGCUUAAGCUCGAAGGUGCGGGUAUCGAACAGGAUUAGAUACCCUGGUAGUCCGCACAGUAAACGAUGGAUGCCCGCUGUUAGCGCCUGGCGUUAGCGGCUAAGCGAAAGCAUUAAGCAUCCCACCUGGGGAGUACGCCGGCAACGGUGAAACUCAAAGGAAUUGACGGGGGCCCGCACAAGCGGAGGAACAUGUGGUUUAAUUCGAUGAUACGCGAGGAACCUUACCCGGGCUUGAA